rnacentral:tRNA from 2 species
GGAGAGGUGUCCGAGUGGUUUAAGGUGCAUGAUUGGAAAUCAUGUUUACGGUGAUAAGCCGUAACGGGGGUUCGAAUCCCCCUCUCUCCGCCA